GCAGCCACUCAUUCAAAGAGUGCGUAAUAGCUCACUGGUCGAGUGAUCCUGCGCCGAAGAUUUCCGGGGCUAAAACUUACUACCGAAGCUACGGCAUCAGUAAUGAUGGGUAGGGGAGCUUCCCAUACGGGUUGAAGCAUGACCGUAAGGACAUGUGGACAGUAUGGGAGUGAGAAUGUUGGCAUGAGUAGCGAGAUGUGGGUGAGAAUCCCACAGGCCGUAAACCCAAGGUUUCCAGGGGAAGGUUCGUCCGCCCUGGGUUAGUCGGGACCUAAGCUGAGGCCGAAAGGCGUAGGUGAUGGACAACAGGUUGAUAUUCCUGUACUACCGAUAACCAUUUGAGAGAAGGGAUGACACAGUAGGAUAAGCUAAGCACACUGUUGGUUAUGUGUGCCCAAGCAUUGAGGCAGUCAAAGUAGGCAAAUCCGCUUUGAUAAUGCUGGGAUGUGAUGGGGAGCGAAAUUUAGUAGCGAAGUAGCUGAUUUCACACUGUCAAGAAAAGUCUCUAUCGAGGUUAAAGGUACCCGUACCGCAAACCGACACAGGUGGGUGAGGAGAGUA
rnacentral:rRNA from 1 species